AACGAACGCUGGCGGCAGGCCUAACACAUGCAAGUCGAACGAAGCCUUCGGGCUUAGUGGCGCACGGGUGCGUAACGCGUGGGAAUCUGCCCUUGGGUUCGGAAUAACAGUUAGAAAUGACUGCUAAUACCGAAUGAUGUCUUCGGACCAAAGAUUUAUCGCCCAAGGAUGAGCCCCGCGUCGGAUUAGCUAGUUGGUGAGGUAAAGGCUCACCAAGGCGACGAUCCGUAGCUGGUCUGAGAGGAUGAUCAGCCACACUGGGACUGAGACACGGCCCAGACUCCUACGGGAGGCAGCAGUGGGGAAUAUUGGACAAUGGGCGAAAGCCUGAUCCAGCAAUGCCGCGUGAGUGAUGAAGGCCUUAGGGCUGUAAAGCUCUUUUACCCGGGAUGAUAAUGACAGUACCGGGAGAAUAAGCCCCGGGCUAACUCCGUGCCAGCAGCCGCGGUAAU
rnacentral:rRNA from 1 species